rnacentral:rRNA from 1 species
GUACAAGGUCUCCGUUGGUGAACCAGCGGGAGGAUCAUUAACGGAGUUUACAACUCCCAAACCCAAUGUGAACGUUACCAAUCUGUUGCCUCGGCGGGAUUCUCUGCCCCGGGCGCGUCGCAGCCCCGGAUCCCAUGGCGCCCGCCGGAGGACCAACUCAAACUCUUUUUUCUCUCCGUCGCGGCCUACGUCGCGGCUCUGUUUUAUUUUUGCUCUGAGCCUUUCUCGGCGACCCUAGCGGGCGUCUCGAAAAUGAAUCAAAACUUUCAACAACGGAUCUCUUGGUUCUGGCAUCGAUGAAGAACGCAGCGAAAUGCGAUAAGUAAUGUGAAUUGCAGAAUUCAGUGAAUCAUCGAAUCUUUGAACGCACAUUGCGCCCGCCAGUAUUCUGGCGGGCAUGCCUGUCCGAGCGUCAUUUCAACCCUCGAACCCCUCCGGGGGGUCGGCGUUGGGGAUCGGCCCCUCACCGGGCCGCCCCCGAAAUACAGUGGCGGUCUCGCCGCAGCCUCUCCUGCGCAGUAGUUUGCACACUCGCACCGGGAGCGCGGCGCGGCCACAGCCGUAAAACACCCCAAACUCUGAAAUGUGACCUCGG